rnacentral:rRNA from 1 species
AUUGAACGCUGGCGGCAGGCCUAACACAUGCAAGUAGAGCGGAGCGGCGGACGGGUGAGUAAUGCCUAGGAAUCUGCCUGGUAGUGUGGGAUAACGUACGGAAACGGGCGCUAAUACCGCAUACUAUCAGAUUAGCCUAGGGCGGAUUAGCUAGUUGGUGGGGUAAAGGCCUACCAAGGCGACGAUCCGUCACUGGUCUGAGAGGAUGAUCAGUCACACUGGAACUGAGCAACGGUCCAGACUCCUACGGGAGGCAGCAGUGGGGAAUAUUGGACAAUGGGCGAAAGCCUGACCAAGCCAUGCGGGGUGUGUGAAGAAGGUCUUCGGAUUGUAAAGCACUUUAAGUUGGGAGGCGUUACCAACAGAGUAAGCACCGGCUAACUACGUGCCAGCAGCCGCGGUAAUUC